rnacentral:rRNA from 1 species
UACGGCGAGUGAGCGGCAAAAGCUCAAAUUUGAAAUCUGGCACCUUCGGUGUCCGAGUUGUAAUUUGAAGAAGGUAACUUUGGAGUUGGCUCUUGUCUAUGUUCCUUGGAACAGGACGUCACAGAGGGUGAGAAUCCCGUGCGAUGAGAUGCCCAAUUCUAUGUAAAGUGCUUUCGAAGAGUCGAGUUGUUUGGGAAUGCAGCUCUAAGUGGGUGGUAAAUUCCAUCUAAAGCUAAAUAUUGGCGAGAGACCGAUAGCGAACAAGUACAGUGAUGGAAAGAUGAAAAGAACUUUGAAAAGAGAGUGAAAAAGUACGUGAAAUUGUUGAAAGGGAAGGGCUUGAGAUCAGACUUGGUAUUUUGCGAUCCUUUCCUUCUUGGUUGGGUUCCUCGCAGCUUACUGGGCCAGCAUCGGUUUGGAUGGUAGGAUAAUGACUAAGGAAUGUGGCUCUACUUCGGUGGAGUGUUAUAGCCUUGGUUGAUACUGCCUGUCUAGACCGAGGACUGCGUCUUUGACUAGGAUGUUGGCAUAAUGAUCUUAAGCCACCCGUCUU